rnacentral:rRNA from 1 species
GAUGAACGCUGACAGAAUGCUUAACACAUGCAAGUCUUUGGCGAAUCUGUGCUUGCACAGGCUAGCCAAGGCGGACGGGUGAGUAACGCGUAAAGAACUUGCCCUGCAGACAGGGAUAACAGACGGAAACGACUGAUAACACCUGAUACAGUUGCCGGCACGCAUGUGCCUGGCAAUGAAAAGAGAUGCUGCAGGAGAGCUUUGCGUCCUAUUAGCUUGUUGGUGAGGUGACGGCUCACCAAGGCGAUGAUAGGUAGCCGGCCUGAGAGGGUGAACGGCCACAAGGGGACUGAGAUACGGCCCUUACUCCUACGGGAGGCAGCAGUGGGGAAUAUUGGACAAUGGGGGCAACCCUGAUCCAGCAAUUCUGUGUGCACGAAGAAGGUUUUCGGAUUGUAAAGUGCUUUCAGCAGGGAAGAAGAAAGUGACGGUACCUGCAGAGGAAGCGACGGCUAAAUACGUG